AAGUCGCACGAGAAAGGGUAGCAAUAUCUGAGUAAAGUGGCGUACGGGUGAGUAACACGUGGAUCAUCUACCUGUUAGUGGGGAAUACCCCUGGGAAACUGGGGACAAUACCGCAUAAGCUCGAAAGAGGAAAGCAGCAAUGCGCUGAAAGAGGAGUCCGCGGUCGAUUAGCUAGAUGGUGAGGUAAUGGCUCACCAUGGCGAAGAUCGAUAGCCGGCCUGAGAGGGCUCACGGCCACACUGGCACUGAAACACGGGCCAGACUCCUACGGGAGGCAGCAGUGGGGAAUCUUGCACAAUGGAGGAAACUCUGAUGCAGCGACGCCGCGUGAGUGAUGAAGCCCUUCGGGGUGUAAAGCUCUUUCGACAGGAACGAUAAUGACGGUACCUGAAGAAGAAGCUGCGGCUAACUACGUGCCAGCAGCCGCGGUAAUACGUAGGCAGCAAGCGUUGUUCGGAAUUACUGGGCGUAAAGAGUGUGUAGGCGGUGCUCUAAGUUUGGUGUGAAAUCUCCCGGCUCAACCGGGAGGCUGCAUCGAAUACUGGAAUGCUAGAGGGUGGGAGAGGUAAGCGGAAUUCCUGGUGUAGCGGUGAAAUGCGUAGAUAUCAGGAGGAACACCUGUGGUGUAGACAGCUUACUGGACCACUUCUGACGCUGAGACACGAAAGCGUGGGUAGCAAACAGGAUUAGAUACCCUGGUAGUCC
rnacentral:rRNA from 1 species